CCCCCCCGGCUCUGCCCCCCCGGCUCAUCAGAAAACGAGUUUUUGGGAAGUCGUUCAGGCAGUGGGUGACGCUGAUUUAAUUUUAAUGACACGGCGGUGUUUUUAACCUGGAACUUCCAGUUUUGAGCGGCUCCUUCCCCUUCCAGCAACUUGAGGAGGUGUCAUCCCCCCCCUUUCCCUCUGUAUUUGGGGGUUUUGCUCUGGGUGGGAGUUAACCCUUCCCAGCCCGGUGGCUCUGGGGGUCGGGCAGGUCGAUGGCACCGGGGCUGUCCCCAAGUAGAGUCCCUUGGCUUAAACCUGCACUUUCUGACCUUAGCGAAAAAGGGAAAAAACGGAGAAAUGUACAUCAAAGGUUGGUUUUGGUGUUUUUUGCUGUUUUGGGGCUUAUUGUUUUUUGGUUUUUUGUUUUGUUUUUUUUUUUAAUAAUCCUUAUUUUAAGCCUUUUAUUUGCUUCCAGGGGCUCGGUUCCCUCUGUGUAACCCCUCGGGAUCCCUCGCAGUCGCUGUGUUUCCUUGUGAGCCCAGAGGCAGAGAAGGGGCCGCUCGCUGGUCCCGCUCGCCCCCCCCUCCCUUCCCUCUUCUCCAUUAAUAAACUGAACUGUUUCUA